GCGAUCCCGGAGGGAGCGCGCCAGGCCUGGCGCGCACCCGACCCCUUGCGCGUUCCGGCUCCGCGCGCCUGCCAGGCCGGGGCCGGCGGCGGAACAGCUUGGGACCCGAAACGCCUCGGCUUUUCUGCGGACCCGCGCCCGGCCGCUGCCGCCGGACGCUUGAAAAGAGGCAGAGUCUUGCUUUGUUGUCCAGGCUGGUCUUGAACUUCUGAGCUCAAGUGAUCCUCCCGCCUUGGCCUCCCAAAGUGCUGAGACUACAGAGAGAGAAUGCUAACGAGCUGUGAAAUGACCAAAGAUCUGGCAGCAGAAGGGAAAAGAAAAAAUAAUGGGAAGAAGAGGAUUUAUCUGACUCAACUGGAGAUGGCUCCCUUCCCUUAUUUAUUGUUGCAUCCUGAAGCUUCCCCCAUGCUGGGCUCAGUGUGAACAAACAGCGCGGGAGAAUGCAACCACUGCAGAGGCAUAUGUUUGAGAUACCUGGCCACUGGAGGUCAUCUCGUCUACUAUAUUCACCGCAGAUAAAGAAUGAAAAGAGAAUACACAACCUUGUGAUUGCUAGCAGUGAAAGCUCAGAGUUAUGACAUAACAGAAUUGGCUCAUGUGACUAUGGAGGCUGAGAUGUCCCAAGAGCUGGAUACCCAGGAGAAGCAAAGGGUACAAAUUGAUCUGACUUGAUUUGUCAGAGAGCCAGAACUGCAGGCAAAUAGACGCCAGAGAAAUCAACCAAUCUUUUAAGCCAGCAGUAAUUGUUCCUCCUGUCGGCUGGCUAAAUGACUUGUAUCUGGAGGAGACGCUCAGAAUGAAUCAGAAUGCUUGAGGUGACAGAAACACAGAGCAUUCCAAAGUGGGCUGUAACAGAAGUGGUUGAUCAUACUGUAAAACUCAAAUGUGAAGGGAAGGCUGGAACCUACUGGAAACUGAAGAUCUAACGAAAAGAAGGAACUUUUAGGAACUAGCAGAGACUUCAAAAUGUUGAGAACUCUCUUUUUUCAUAAGAGAAGAUAAAAACUCUGAUGGUCACACUCAUAAAGACAAAAAACAAAUAAAAAACAAACAAAAACUCAGAAUCACAAGAGCAAAGAAAAUGUAGGUAAAACAAUAACAGAAGAGGUAAAGAAAUUUAUGUGAAUUGGGACACUCUGGGGCACAGAACAGAAGAGGAGAAGAAACAUGAAAGUAAUGCUCUGCACAAGGAUGUCUGACUGUCCUUGAUUCCAAGGGCAUUUAAAAUUAGCCACUGGAUGAGAACCAUGAAAUGCCAUGACUCUUACAGCUCCCAUGAAAGACAUUGGAUGGAACUUAUCCUAACUGGACCAAAUUCUAAAAAAUUUUACAUGAUAUUAUAAUGAGUUGAAAGUUGAAAAAAAAAAGCUCUUCUAGAUUACCAAGAAUAAAACACAAAUUUCUAGCUGACUGAAUUAAUUCUCAUCUCUCUAUAGAAAGAUCAUAGAAAUUUUUUUUAUCAUGCAAAGAAAUAGCUAAAAAUUUACAAAAAUAUAGACGUGCAUUAGGCAGCUCAUGAAUAAAUGCGUUUUUUCCUUUUUUCCUCCAGAAUUUUGUGAUGUUUAUGGUACUUUUCGGCUUUUAAAAUUUUGUAUUUAAUCAGGAUUUAUUACUUCAUUGUAAGUAAAUAUUAAAUUUGUACUCCAUCUUUGUUUGUAAUUUUGUAUAUUUUUCAGUAAAAAGGACUCCCCAGAUUAUGUAAGCUUUAGGCCCCACAAAAUCUAGGCCUGUUGCUGUAUCCUUUCUAGAGCAGUGUUUCUCAAACUUCAAUGUGCAUUUGAAUCUCCUGGGGCUCCUGUUAAAAUAUAGCUUCUGAGAUGAUGCAUUUCUAACAGACUCCCAGGGCUGACACUGCCCAUCUGGGGACCACACUUUGAGAAUCAAAUAUCUAGAACAAUGGUUCUUACCUGGCUGUGCAUUGGGAUCAUUUAUAGUGCUUUUGGAAAAUACAUUGUGUCCAGGUCCCACCCAGUUCUCAGUAGGCUUGGAAUGGGGUCCUACACUUUUUUUUUUUAACUCCACAGUUUGGGAAAGAAGCCUUUUCAUAUAUUGUUGGUGGGAAUACAAAUUGAUACAGCCAUUUUUGAGCUUGAUUUGGCAAUAUCUUCCUUGGAGAAAUCAAAAGCCAGUUGGCAAGCCAGUCUGGAAAAGGCAGUUUACUGAUUCCCACCCGAGGGUCACAAAGCAGGUAUAGAAGGAUGGGCUUUGGCUGAAAUAUAUGAUGGGUACAGGUAUAUUCUCUAUAAUCCAGUAUUUCCACUGCUGAAAACGUAUCCUAGUAACAUUAUACAUAUCAAGCCUACAUAUAAAGUUGGUCAAUUCCAUAUUAUUUGUAGUAGGGGAAAACUGAAAGCAGUCUACAUGCCCAUCAAUAGAUUAUUCAAAUUAUGGAACAGUUUUCCAAUGACAAAACAAUAGCUAAUCUUAGUUAAGCAAUUAUUAUGUUAUGUAAGGUAGACAUUGUUCUACCUUAUUUAUAAGUAUUAAGUUAGUUUUUAUAACUAUCAUAUUUCCAUUUUACAAAUGACAUAAUUUAUAUUAUUGACAUGGGAAGAUGUCCAAGGAUAUAAUAAGCAAAAAGCAAGUAGCAAAACAUUAUGUAUAUUAUGCAUUACCAUUAUAAUAUACUAAAAAGUAAUGCACUUGAUUCUGAUGCACACUCCCCAGUAGGUAACAACUUAUCUAGUGUAAAAAUGAAAGAACAUUCUGGGCCGGGCACGGUGGCUCAUGCCUGUAAUCCCAGCACUUUGGGAGGCCCAGGUGGGCGGAUCACAAGGUCAGGAGAUCGAGACCAUCCUGGCUAACAUGGUGAAACCCCGUCUCUACUAAAAAUACAAAAAAAAAAUUAGCUGGGCGUGGUGGCCGGCGCCUGUAGUCGCAGCUACUCGGGAGGCUGAGGCAGGAGAAUGGCGUGAACCCGGGAGGCGGAGCUUUCAGUGAGCGGAGAUAGCGCCAUUG
rnacentral:lncRNA from 1 species